AUACGGAGGAUCCGAGCGUUAUCCGGAUUUAUUGGGUUUAAAGGGUGCGUAGGCUGACCAAUAAGUCAGCGGUGAAAAGCAUAGGCUUAACCUAUGUCUUGCCGUUGAUACUGUUGGACUAGAAUAUAAAUGGAGUAGGCGGAAUGAAUCAUGUAGAGGUGACAUUCAUAGAUAUGAUUUAGAACACCGUUCGCGAAGGCGGCUUACUAAGAUAUAAUUGACGCUGAGGCACGAAAGCGUGGGUAUCGAACAGGAUUAGAUACCCUGGUAGUCCACGCUGUAAACUAUGAUAACUCGUUGUCGGCGAUACACAGUCGGUGACCAAGCGAAAGCGAUAAGUUAUCCACCUGGGGAGUACGAUCGCAAGGUUGAAACUCAAAGGAAUUGACGGGGGCCCGCACAAGCGGAGGAGCAUGUGGUUUAAUUCGAUGAUACGCGAGGAACCUUACCUAGACUUGAACGUAACAGUAAUAAUGUAGAAAUAUAUUAGCUAGCAAUAGACUGUUACGAGGUGCUGCAUGGUUGUCGUCAGCUCGUGCCGUGAGGUGUCAGGUUAAGUCCUAUAACGAGCGCAACCCUUACACUUAGUUGCCAGCAUAUAAAGAUGGGGACUCUAAGUGGACUGCCUGCGUAAGCAGAGAGGAAGGUGGGGAUGACGUCAAAUCAGCACGGCCCUUACGUCUAGGGCGACACACGUGCUACAAUGGUAGGUACAGAGGGCAGCUACAUAGUGAUAUGGUGCGAAUCUCAAAAGCCUAUCUCAGUUCGGAUCGGAGUCUGCAACCCGACUCCGUGAAGUUGGAUUCGCUAGUA
rnacentral:rRNA from 1 species